AAGCCUUCUCGAGAUCGUCACUUCAGUCCCCGUGUUUGCGAAAGCAGGAGAGCUGAGAAUUCGCUGCCAUGAGACUGACUGGCUUGAGGAUCCUUCUGCAGUUGCUUGCAAUUGCUCUGGCGUGCAGCGUUGUGCCGUCGCUUGCAAAUCCUUCAAAUGGCAACAAUUGCAAUGGCGUUCAGUGCCCCCAGUACACUGUCCCGAACUGCACGCCCAGGUACCCCCAAGGAGCGUGCUGCCCAGACUGGUCCCACUGCAACCAGGGCGGACCAUUGCCACUAUAAUAGUCGCAGGAUUGAGAGAAGCCUUGAGGGAAAGUCACCUGCCGGUUGAAGAAAACUUCUCUUUUCACCAACGGAAAUAAACAUUCAGAAUCUG